AUUGAACGCUGGCGGCAUGCCUUACACAUGCCAGUCGAACGGCAGCACGGACUUCGGUCUGGUGGCGAGUGGCGAACGGGUGAGUAAUGUAUCGGAACGUACCUUUCAGUGGGGGAUAACGUAGCGAAAGUUACGCUAAUACCGCAUAUUCUGUGAGCAGGAAAGCAGGGGAUCGCAAGACCUUGCGCUGAUUGAGCGGCCGAUAUCAGAUUAGCUAGUUGGUGGGGUAAAGGCCUACCAAGGCUACGAUCUGUAGCGGGUCUGAGAGGAUGAUCCGCCACACUGGAACUGAGACACGGUCCAGACUCCUACGGGAGGCAGCAGUGGGGAAUUUUGGACAAUGGGGGCAACCCUGAUCCAGCCAUGCCGCGUGAGUGAAGAAGGCCUUCGGGUUGUAAAGCUCUUUCGGCCGGGAAGAAAUCGCAUCAGCUAAUACCUGGUGUGGAUGACGGUACCGGAAUAAGAAGCACCGGCUAACUACGUG
rnacentral:rRNA from 1 species